CAGUAGCCGCGGUAACACGGAGGGUGCAAGCGUUAAUCGGAAUUACUGGGCGUAAAGCGCACGCAGGCGGUCUGACAAGUCAGAUGUGAAAUCCCCGGGCUUAACCUGGGAACUGCAUUUGAAACUGUCAGGCUGGAGUCUUGUAGAGGGGGGUGGAAUUCCAGGUGUAGCGGUGAAAUGCGUAGAGAUCUGGAGGAAUACCGGUGGCGAAGGCGGCCCCCUGGACAAAGACUGACGCUCAGGUGCGAAAGCGUGGGGAGCAAACAGGAUUAGAGACCCGUGUAGUCCCUGUCUCUUAUAC
rnacentral:rRNA from 1 species